rnacentral:misc_RNA from 1 species
AAGUCGUAACAAGGUUUCCGUAGGUGAACCUGCGGAAGGAUCAUUAACACGUUUCGUUCCGAACGUUUUUGACCCAUUUCUCAUUUUCCGUGCAAACAUUAUGCGUCCGGCCUCCCAGCCGCCCGCCGGGUUUACUCGGUGUGGCCUGUUGGGCGUUCUCUGUUAAAAAGGAGAGCGUUGCCACCUAACCCAAACCCUUUAAUCUAACUGAUCUGAACUCUAAAGUUGAAGAGUGCAGCUUCGGCUGUCUUUUUAACGAUUUUUGAAACAAACAACAACUCUUAACAACGGAUAUCUUGGUUCUC